AUGUGUGAUAGUGUAAGUGGGAGCAUGGCCCCUUGAAAGGGCCAGUGUCGGUUCGAGUCCGGCUCACAGAUU
rnacentral:tRNA from 2 species